GCCUCUUCAUUCUCCCCCUUCCCAGGCCGCAGACGGCCUGAUGACCCAGCUAUUUCGCUUGGUUUGCUUGGCCUACGUCAGCGGGCCCUUUAGGGUUACAGGUGCUUGAGAUGGCCUGCUGGGCAGGGCCGACCACGUAAUUUGAGGGCUCAGUGCAAUAGGAAAACGCAGGGCCCUUUGUUCUGAAAUUCAGAAUUUCCAGACGGUGACAGCUGCGCAUUAAGCCCCGCACGUGGCCCUUCUCAGCCCAGCAGGGGCCGGCGCUGUGCUUCCAGGAGUGUGGUCCCGAGAAGGUGCUGGGCGGGCCCCUCCCUUACAAAGGGCUCCCGUGUGGCCUUGCUUCUUGGUUUGCGUGGCCAGGUCAUUUGCCCUCCCCGUUGUCUCUGGAUGUAUCUUCAACAUUGCAUACCAUCCUAAAGCUUGAAAAUCCACUGAAACCCAUUUGGGGGCACCUUAAAGGCCCAGUUGUACAUGACCCACAGGCUGCAGCUACCCUUUUCCCUGGCAUCUUCCGCCUGAGACUGGAAGGUUGAAGGAGGGAUGAUAGGGAUUGUGUGAAAGAAGCGACCUCUCAGCCAACUCCUGUCUUCCUGGGAAGGCCCCUGGAAGAAACGGGGUGGAAGGAGCACUAAUAUGGGGGUCAGGAGCUGGAGUCUUGUCCCGCCUUGGCUACUCACUAGCUGAAGAAGUUGAAGCCGAAGAGUUUGAAUGCCUUGGCAGCGACCAUCCAGCUGAAGGAAUCUUGUGCUUGCACGUGACAGAUGAUCCAACCCCAUCUGAUUUAGCAAAACCAGUUUCAAAUUGAAUCUGGUUUGAAAAUCCCAAAGGUAAGAUUUGAGAUUUAUGAUCUACUCAGGGUUCCAACUCCAUUUCCCUGCCCUUCUCUUAGUCUGCCCUUCUCCAUGUAUCAGUUUCACCCCUGGACUGGCUCUCCUCAUGGUGACAGCUUUGCUCAGAGCAUCACACUUGGGGGAGAAAAGUGAGCCUAUGCGUUACCUUGUGCUCUUUUCCAAAGUCCUGAGAUUCACUCCUAUCGGCUGCCUUUAGCUAUGUGCCUACCCCUGAACAUCCCCUUUUGCCAGGAAAAGAGGAUGUGUUCACAUGAUAGGAAGCCAGGAAGUGGGCAGCUUCACAUUGCCAUCCAGGUCUCAGGCUCCCAACUCAAUCUUUCU